rnacentral:lncRNA from 1 species
UAGAAAUACACGUCAAUUUUACCAAAAUUAAACACACAGGAAUGAAUACAAAGCACGAACUGUUGUAUGUGAGUACCUCCAGAGGUGAAACUUGAUCCCCCAGAUGUAAUGAGCAGAGACAUUACAAUCAGUUCUAACUGUAUCUUAAUGCUGUGCUGAAUAAGCCUGAGUCAGGAUGUAAACCACUUUCUCUUUUUUUCUUCAGAUGAAGCCAUUAAUUUUGUCAGCAAGUCCAAAACGACUCCAGAAAUAUCAGUCAGUCCUUCUGAAGACCUGGAGCUGGUGUGUGAGGUGUCAGCUGCAAGCGGAGCUGUCGUAUAGAAGAAAGAUCAAAUAGAGGUGAAGCAGGACCAGAGGACAACCAUCAUCUCCCAGGGGACGCACCGCAAGCUCAUGGUCAAAAAUGUGACCCUGAAAGACCAAGGGAGCUACAGCUGUGAAACAAAAGAUGACAAAGCAACAUUCCAAGUGAAAGUCAGAGGAAUGAAUUACUGCAACAAACGGGAGUACAGCUGCGAGGCUGCUGGCCAGAAACUCACCUUCAAGAUUCAUGUCACAGAGCCAGAAUUUGUAUUUACAAACAAGGAGAAGGUACAGAAGGUGGUGAAGGCUGCAACAACAGAAAAAUGCCACGCUGAGCUGCGAGGUGGCCCAGGAGAAGAUGGAGGUUGUCAUCAAUUUAUAAGCAAUGAGCCAAUAAUGUUCCAAUUAUAAACUUUUAUUAAUUGUAGCGGGUAAAACUAAAAGGCAAUUCCAGUGGCUGGGCGAACAGGGGAUUAUUGUUCCUCCA